rnacentral:rRNA from 1 species
CCUACGGGUGGCAGCAGUGAGGAAUAUUGGUCAAUGGACGAGAGUCUGAACCAGCCCAGUAGCGUGAAGGAUGACUGCCCUAUGGGUUGUAAACUUCUUUUAUAUGGGAAUAAAAUGUUCCACGUGUGGGAUUUUGUAUGUACCAUAUGAAUAAGGAUAGGCUAACUCCGUGCCAGCAGCCGCGGUAAUACGGAGGAUCCGAGCGUUAUCCGGAUUUAUUGGGUUUAAAGGGAGCGUAGGUGGAUUGUUAAGUCAGUUGUGAAAGUUUGCGGCUCAACCGUAAAAUUGCAGUUGAAACUGGCAGUCUUGAGUACAGUAGAGGUGGGCGGAAUUCGUGGUGUAGCGGUGAAAUGCUUAGAUAUCACGAAGAACUCCGAUUGCGAAGGCAGUUCACUGGACUGCAACUGACACUGAGGCUCGAAAGUGUGGGUAUCAAACAGGAUUAGAUACCCUGGUAGUC